UUGGAGGGCAAGUCUGGUGCCAGCAGCCGCGGUAAUUCCAGCUCCAAUAGCGUAUAUUAAAGUUGUUGCAGUUAAAAAGCUCGUAGUUGAAUUUCGGGAUCAAUGUUUCGGUCAUGCCGUUGGUAUGUACUGAUAUUAUUGAUUUCUCACCUUCUAAAGAACCGUAAUGCCAUUAAUUUGGUGUCACGGGGAAUUAGGACUGUUACCUUGAAGAAAUUAGAGUGUUUAAAGCAGGCUCACGCUUGAAUACAUUAGCAUGGAAUAAUGAAAUAGGACAUCCGAUUCUAUUUUGUUGGUUUCUAGGAUCGAUGUAAUGAUUAAUAGGGAUAGUUGGGGGCAUUAGUAUUCAAUUGUCAGAGGUGAAAUUUUUGGAUUUAUUGAAGACUAACUACUGCGAAAGCAUUUGCCAAGGAUGUUUUCAUUAAUCAAGAACGAAAGUUAGGGGAUCGAAGACGAUCAGAUACCGUCGUAGUCUUAACCAUAAACUAUGCCGACUAGGGAUCGGAUGAUGUUAAUUUUUUAAUGACUCAUUCGGCGCCUUACGGGAAAC
rnacentral:rRNA from 1 species